rnacentral:rRNA from 1 species
CCGCCGCGCGCGGCGGGCGGGGCGGGGGGCACGGGGGGCCUACGGGAGGCAGCAGUGAGGAAUAUUGGACAAUGGCCGAGAGGCUGAUCCAGCCAUGCCGCGUGCGGGAGGACGGCCCUAUGGGUUGUAAACCGCUUUUGUUGGGGAGCAAUAAGGUCUACGUGUAGACUGAUGAGAGUACCCAGCGAAUAAGCAUCGGCUAUCUCCGUGCCAGCAGCCGCGGUAAUAAU